GGCCGGUUGGCCUAAUGGUAAGGCGUGGCUCUCCUAAAGCCAAGAUUGCGGGUUCGAGUCCCGUAUCGGUCG
rnacentral:tRNA from 1 species